rnacentral:rRNA from 1 species
UACAGAGGUCUCAAGCGUUGUUCGGAUUCAUUGGGCGUAAAGGGUGUGUAGGUGGCGCUGUAAGUCGGGUGUGAAAUUUUCGGAGCUUAACUCCGAAACUGCAUUCGAUACUGCGGUGCUUGAGGACUGGAGAGGAGACUGGAAUUCAUGGUGUAGCAGUGAAAUGGCGUAGAGAUCAUGAGGAAGACCAGUGGCGAAGGCGGGUCUCUGGACAGUUCCUGACACUGAGACACGAAGGCCAGGGGGAGCAAACGGG